CUUGUACCUGCAGUCGUCGGCUGCAACAAUAUCCAUCAAGAGAAUGUAUUUGGCCUUUUUGUCCAGACCGGUGCACCUCACUUUAAAAGGGGGGAACAUCCGCCUGCGAGAAAGAAAAACAAACGUUCCCACAGCUCCUUGGCUUCCAGGUGAACUUUGGGGUCGUCCUCGACUUCCUCCUCAGGCUCCAGAGUCUUCAGAGGCCUGAGGUGUGCGGCAGCAGCCUGGUGCCCCAGCGAGGAGAAAUGCAGGCCGGUCUCCGCGGCACCCAUCAGCUGGUCCAUGAUCGGCUUCCCCAGCGCGCCAGGCAGGGACAGCGAGCCGGUGGGAGGCAGAGCAAGGGCCGGGAAGAACGGAGGCUGGUGCCCGAGCAUUGCACUCAUGGCAAAUUCCGGACCCCGGUGAGGUAUAAACGGAUGAUAUGCCAUACUUGAUCCUUGUAUGACUGGAUCUCUCAUCAGGAAGUUCAUCCAAGAGCAGGCAACAAACGGAGACGACUGAUUUGAUUUGGGAAAGUGUUUUUGGAGAUGGUGAAGCCUCAAGUGGAGCAAACAAACAAAAUAAAAAAGCCGGAAAAUAAAGUUGGAAAGCUUUGGGAAUUCCUCCUUAAAACGGCAGAAAUAAGAAUCCAGUUGUUUUUCAACAAGUUGUGGGAAACCUCUGCUCGUCGUUCGCUGGAUUUGGAUCAAAAGUCAGCAAAGAGAAAUGUAAAAAUGUUCUCCAUUAUUCUUCACAAGUGCUGCGAGAGCGAUUUUCUUCAGAGGCUGACGCGCAUCGGACACCUUUCUGCGUCUCGCUGGCUCGCGGACAUUAGUCGAAUUAAAGCAACUCGGAUUGUUAAUGAUAAGCGAGGACAGACUUGGUGGCACCGCUCCUGAAUGGACGAGAUUGUCUUUGCUGAGAGUCAUCAAGCCUAACACGACGUGAUGGGGGAAAGGAAACAUCACAAGAUUAGUAUAUUCAACUAGCAUAAUGACUCCAAACUUCAUUAUAAGACAUCCUGACACAAAGUGAAGGGGGAGAUGUUCAAUUGACAGAGUAAUGACUUUCUAAAUGCAAACAGUUUACCUCCAAGGAUUUAGGUAGGGCUGAGAUUGAUCCAUUGAGGGAAUAUUGCACCAAAAAUAAGGAGGAGAUUGUAUAAUGCACUUUCCAGAAUCACAUGCUUGUUUCAGUCAAUUUGCAGGGGAAUGAUAA